CGCCCAUAGCUCAGUAGAAUAGAGCACUUGGCUACGAACUAAAGGGUCGGGAGCGCGAAUCUCUCUGAGCGAA
rnacentral:tRNA from 1 species